rnacentral:rRNA from 1 species
UACGUAGGCAGCGAGCGUUGUCCGGAUUUAUUGGGUUUAAAGGGUGCGUAGGCGGCUUUGUAAGUCAGUGGUGAAAUACUCCAGCUCAACUGGAGAGGUGCCAUUGAUACUGCAGAGCUAGAGUACUGAUGAGGUAGGCGGAAUGGACGGUGUAGCGGUGAAAUGCUUAGAUAUCGUCCAGAACACCGAUAGCGAAGGCAGCUUACUAAAGAGUAACUGACGCUGAGGCACGAAAGUGCGGGGAUCAAACAGG